UUACCGGCUUGAAAGGACUGAAAGUCCGCAAGGCCUAGGUGCUGCAUGGCUGUCGUCAGCUCGUGCCGUGAGGUGUUGGGUUAAGUCCCGUAACGAGCGCAACCCUAUCUUAGUUGCCAACAGAUGGGACUCUAAGAGACUGCCCGCGCAACGGGAGGAAGGUGGGGAUGACGUCAAGUCAUCACGGCCCUUACGCCGGGCUACACACGUGCUACAAUGGGAUACACAGGGCAUGGUAACAGGAGCAAUCCCAAAAUCAUCUCAGUUCGGAUUGAGGUCUGCAACUCGACCUCAUGAAGCUGGAUUCGCUAGUAAUCGGAAUCAGCAUGUCCGGUGAAUACGUUCCCGGGCCUUGUACACACCGCCCGUCAAGCCAUGGAAGUUGGGGACCGAA
rnacentral:rRNA from 1 species